AGCAUAUCAAUAAGCGGAGGAAAAGAAACUAACAAGGAUUCCCCUAGUAACUGCGAGUGAAGCGGGAAAAGCUCAAAUUUAAAAUCUGGCGGUCUCUGGCCGUCCGAGUUGUAAUCUAGAGAAGUGUUAUCCGCGUUGGACCGUGUACAAGUCUCCUGGAAUGGAGCGUCAUAGAGGGUGAGAAUCCCGUCUUUGACACGGACUGCCAAGGCUUUGUGAUGCGCUCUCAAAGAGUCGAGUUGUUUGGGAAUGCAGCUCAAAAUGGGUGGUAAAUUCCAUCUAAAGCUAAAUAUUGGCGAGAGACCGAUAGCGAACAAGUACCGUGAGGGAAAGAUGAAAAGAACUUUGGAAAGAGAGUUAAACAGUACGUGAAAUUGCUGAAAGGGAAACGCUUGAAGUCAGUCGCGUUGGCCGAGGAUCAACCUUGCUUUUGCUGGGCGUACUUCUCGGUCGACGGGUCAGCAUCAAUUUUGACCGGUGGAUAAAGGCUAGGGGAAUGUGGCAUCUUCGGAUGUGUUAUAGCCCUUGGUCGCAUACAUCGGUUGGGAUUGAGGAACUCAGCACGCCGCAAGGCCGGGUUUUUAACCACGUACGUGCUUAGGAUGCUGGCAUAAUGGCUUUAAUCGACCCGUCUUGAAACACGGACCAAGGAGUCUAACAUGCCUGCGAGUGUUUGGGUGGAAAACCCGAGCGCGUAAUGAAAGUGAAAGUUGAGAUCCCUGUCGUGGGGAGCAUCGACGCCCGGACCAGACCUUUUGUGACGGUUCCGCGGUAGAGCAUGUAUGUUGGGACCCGAAAGAUGGUGAACUAUGCCUGAAUAGGGUGAAGCCAGAGGAAACUCUGGUGGAGGCUCGUAGCGAUUCUGACGUGCAAAUCGAUCGUCAAAUUUGGGUAUAGGGGCGAAAGACUAAUCGAACCAUCUAGUAGCUGGUUCCUG
rnacentral:rRNA from 1 species